rnacentral:lncRNA from 1 species
AUGGCUUGGUUUUUUCAAGCUUUAUCUCUUUUUUAUUAUUCUAAGUUUGCAAUCUUAGUUGGGAUGCCUAUGCCAGAGUUUCUCCGAUCCUACCUGAUCGUUAGUGGAGACACGCCAUAUUGUCUUAAUUUUGAUAUUAGACCGCUCCGUUAUUGUAAUGGCCCUUUUGUGGCUAGUUUGUAUUGGCCUUUUGUGGCUAGUGGCUUUUUUG